rnacentral:SRP_RNA from 1 species
UCGUGCUAGACGGGGAGCUAGCGGUGCCCUGUACCCGCAACCCGCUAUAGCGGGGUCGAAUUCCCCCUCGAGGGCCAGCGUCCCUGAAACUACCGGAGUCAGGCGGUGCAGAAGAUUGGGUCCUGCGCGGCAGGAGCCUGUGAACCCCGCCAGGUCCGGAAGGAAGCAACGGUAAGCAGUCACUCCUGGGUGCCGCAGGGGUGCCUGGUCGGAGCUGGCUGGCUCUGGCAAGUCAGGCGACCUGGUUCGACGGGGGGUGCACGA